AGCUAUGGUAGUACCACCCUGAAUAUGCCUGAUCUUGUUUGAUCUCAAAAGCUAAGCAGGUUCAGGCCUGGUUAGUACUCAGACAGGAGAAAUUGAAGGUAAUUAAUGAAA
rnacentral:rRNA from 1 species